ensembl:misc_RNA
CUUUUAGCUUUAAACCGAGGUCAGAAACUGUCACAGAAACUUAAGUUCUUUGGCGGGUUAGAUGAAUCUAAUCCAUGGUCAUCCACUUUAUAAAUACAUAAAAGGACAGUUUUAUGAUUGUCAGCUUUGAGUUGAGGAUAUGUUCCAGACAUCUUAGUUUCCCUUACUUAUUUUUGGAGACAUUUCUCUCAGCUAUUAGUGAAGCUGA